GAUGAAGAACGUAGCGAAAUGCGAUAAGUAAUGUGAAUUGCAGAAUUCAGUGAAUCAUCGAAUCUUUGAACGCACCUUGCGCCCUUUGGCUAUUCCAAAGGGCAUGCCUGUUUGAGUAUCAUGAACACCUCAACUCUCAUGGUCUGCCAUGAUGAGCUUGGACUUUGGAGGUCUGCUGGCCUGUGGUCAGCUCCUCUCAAAUGAAUCAGCUUUCCGGUGUUUGGUGGCAUCAUGGGUGUGAUAAAUAUCUACGCUUGUGGUUUUCCACCAGGCAACCUUCAGUGAUGGGGGUUCGCUGGGGCUCAUAAAUGUCUCUCCUCAGCGAAGACAGCUUUGUGAAUGUUUGAUCUCAAAUCAGGUAGGACUACCCGCUGAACUUAAGCAUAUCAAUAAGCGGAGGA
rnacentral:misc_RNA from 1 species